UGUGACGUAAAUUCAUUAAUUCCGAAGGAAUAUACAAACACGUGAACAGGCAAAGAUUUACGAUAGGAUAAUUUUGCGGAUAACGCAAUAUAUAGUGACGUUAAUUGGUUUUUUGAAAACUAUUCUAUUUUUUUCAUCGAGUGACAAAUAGCUAGGCCCACAGCUCUGACGUGAUCGUUGUAUUCUCUGUGUCGAGCUAAGAAUAUUAUUAAAUACUAUUUAAUUUUAAGACAGCAUAACACGGAUAACGUUUCGUUCGCUUUGCCAGACAAUGAGAUUCUCGUACGUACAAAGCACAUAUCGAAAUCAGUAAAUAAUUUGUGAGCAUUUUGGCAAUUGAGUGAAGAUGGUUGACUCGAUUGUCCAAAGAAAUAUAUAGUCGCGUUACGCUUUAUAUCGUAGCACACUUCUCUGGCAAGGGCACGAUGCGUAAAAGAAGCUUCAUUUAUUUCAAGACAACGGACAUACAUAUCGGAAAGUACAACUAUUCAGACUCGAUAUAGCAUAAGACAAUGCUUAUCUUGGAUCGCUCGUGGAAAAAGAUUUUUCCCAGAACAGAUUAAAACAGCUAUAAACGAUUCAAUGAUAGUUACUUUGUUUGUGGUCUGUAAUUCUUGUUUCCUGUUUUGCGCGAAAGAAGCAAAACCAAUUUUCGAUCGAAACGAAAUCAAUUGUCUUCGCGUUGGACGAAAAUAUAUUAUCUAAUAUUAGCAUUGACACGCUAUCAUCUACGUUUAUCAUUUAUAAGGCCAACAAUGUGAUUUCCAGUGAUUUUCUUACGUAAAUUGCAUUGCAUCGUUUUAUUUAACGAAGAUCGAUUGGCAUGCCAUUGAUGUAUUGGCCGUUAUCAUCGAUCAUAGAGCAAACGAUAAAGAUCCUAUAAAAUAUGCUUUCGUUCGAAGAAGUUGUUAGGUCAAAAAGAAAUUGAAUCUCCGGUAAAAAAUAUUAUUCGUCAUAAUAAGCCAAUAAAUAGCCGGCUAUUUUCUGUGAACGACGUGUACAAAUUUAUCUGAUGGAAGCGAACCAAAUCGGGUGCAUUUACACGUGUACGCUUCACACGUCAUAUCCUACGUUACGAACCACGCGAAUUUCAAUUAUACUUUACUGAAUGCAUUUCGCCCUUGCUAGUAAUAGCAGCGUUUAAAAGUUCGACGAUGAGGUCAGAAAAUGAGAGCGAAUCGAGAGAGAAGGUGCAUUAUCUGUGAUAGCUAAUUGCUGAGAAAUCGCGAUUAUCGACGGCUAGCGCGAAUUCGCCAGAAUAAUCGAUGAUGUAUAAGGAAGAUGGUAUCCCGAUCUGUCUAAAAUAGAAUCACGAACGCGAAUACGACGAGAUCGAAACCUUGGCCCCAUAGAGCAAAGCUUACGUCUGUUUCGUUGAUAAAAUGAUUAAUUAAGCACCGCGUGAACUAAAUAUCUCCUCCUAUUCAGGCAUCGAGAUCUUAACGAGCAAUCACCUUGGAAACACAUUUGACCAACGAUGCUACAUUGUGUGUGAAGGAUGUUAAUUACAGUUAAAAAAGAUGCGCGAAAAGAAAGUAUCGAUAUGUAAUAUUUCGUUACUAAAUGUUCUUAAAUGUUACUAAUUAAGCUGGGAAUCGACCUUCGUAACCACACGGGAAGGAGGAUCGAGCUCGAGCGAGGAGUGCUUCGCGACCUUAGACAAUGCGACCUGCACACGAAAUAUCCACGAACCGUGACCACUUCUGCGAGCUAAACGUAAGAGAAACGAAGAAGGUAAGAAAGUCACGAGCCGACAGAGAGGAAAGUAUCCUCUCGUAUUAUUACACCGGAUAAACGUCAAUGCCGUUUAGAACCAGUUGUAACGUUUCUACUCGAGAUUCCUGUGUCGAUCUCGAGCUGAACAUUUUCAUGGCGGUCUGUUAAAAGCACUUCGCUCUAAUUGCAUACCGGAAUCUUUGACUCAAAUGUACGCGUAAAAUACACAAGUUAAUACACAA